AACUGGAGGGAAGGUGGGGAUGACGUCAAAUCAUCAUGCCCCUUAUGACCUGGGCUACACACGUGCUACAAUGGGCAGAACAAAGGGCAGCGAAGCCGCGAGGCUAAGCCAAUCCCACAAAUCGGUUCUCAGUUCGGAUCGCAGUCUGCAACUCGACUGCGUGAAGCUGGAAUCGCUAGUAAUCGCGGAUCAGAAUGCCGCGGUGAAUACGUUCCCGGGCCUUGUACACACCGCCCGUCACACCACGAGAGUUUGUAACACCCGAAGUCGGUGAGUUAACCUUUUGGAGCCCGCCGCCGAAUGUGGGACACAUGAUUGGGGUGAAGUCGUAACAAGGUAGCCGUAUCGGAAGGUGCGGUUGGAUCACCUCC
rnacentral:rRNA from 1 species